GAUGAACGCUGGCGGCGUGCCUAAUACAUGCAAGUCGAGCGAACAGACGAGGAGCUUGCUCCUCUGACGUUAGCGGCGGACGGGUGAGUAACACGUGGAUAACCUACCUAUAAGACUGGGAUAACUUCGGGAAACCGGAGCUAAUACCGGAUAAUAUAUUGAACCGCAUGGUUCAAUAGUGAAAGACGGUUUUGCUGUCACUUAUAGAUGGAUCCGCGCCGCAUUAGCUAGUUGGUAAGGUAACGGCUUACCAAGGCAACGAUGCGUAGCCGACCUGAGAGGGUGAGCGGACACACUGGCGCUGAGAGACGGUCGAGCGUCCUGCGGGAGGCAGCAGUAGGGAAUGUUCCGCAAUGGGCGAAAGUCUGAAGGAGCAACGCCGAGUGAGAGAUGAAGGUCUUCGGAUCGUAAAACUCUGUUAUUAGGGAAGAACAAAUGUGUAAGUAACUAUGCACGUCUUGACGGUACCUAAUCAGAAAGCCACGGCUAACUACGUG
rnacentral:rRNA from 1 species